CCAGGGCUCCUCCAAAAUGGAGUACCUGCUCACAAAUCCUUCUCUUGAGCUCUGCUUUGGGGGAGAACUCAAGGAAUUCUUUUGGAUCAAUGCCUCCCAGUGCAAGUCCUGACCCUGCGCUAAAGCCUCCGAGACAAAAACAACAAAAUGCAGUAUGGAGAGAAAUGAAAAAGGCUGUAAUGCUAUUUAAAGAAUGGAUUAAGUACAGUUUACAGAUGCCGGAUUUAUUCCCAUAUUGGAAUGUUAAAUCAGACAACUGAGGAGAAAAACUCACCUUGUUUGAAAAAUUCAGAUGUUUCCCUCACAGUAUAUAACCUAAAGUGAAAUGUAAUUAUUUCCACUAAGCCUCACAUAGAUGCUCCCCAGGUCCCUUCCAGUUUACCCCAGCAUGUGUUCAGAGGAUCCAAGAUGUCCAGUAUAAAAGGUUUGCAGGAAACCUAGAGGAUGGAGGAAGAGGCUAUGCAACAAUAUAAUGAAACGAUCAAAUCAAGUCAAGAGUGAGAGAAAUUCAACAAGAAAAAUGGUCCUAUUUCUUCAACAACAGCAAUAAAAUGGAAUUUUGAAAGCGGGAGGGGCAAUUUUUAAAUAAAGAUUAAAUGAAAUUUAAGAGAUAUAGUAACUAAAUGAAAAGUAUAAAUCUUGCUUGGAUUCUUAUUUAAACACAUCGUCUAAAAACGUUUAGAGAAAUUUAAACAUGGACUGGGUGAUGAUGACAUUAAAUAAUAGUUUAAUCAUUUAGAUGUUUAACAGCAUUGUGGUUAUGUUUAAGUGGUCCUUAUUUGUUAGAAAUACGUGUUGAACUAGUUAUGGGUAAAACAAUAUCAAGAAUUUGCUUUAAAAUAGUCUAGCUAAAUAAGCCAGCAACAACAACUCUGGGAGGAUAUCGAUAUAUAGAAUAAUAUCAGUGGUUAAGAGCUUGGCUGUUAACCAAAAGUUUGACAGUUCGAAUCCACCACCUGCUACUUGGAAACCAUAAGGGGCAGUUGUACUCUGUCCUAUAGGGU